rnacentral:rRNA from 1 species
AGGAUAAACGCUGGCGGCGUGCCUAACACAUGCAAGUCGAACGCGCUUUCGGGCUUCGGUGCGAGAGCGAGUGGCGGACGGGUGAGUAACACAUGGGUACCUACCUUGGAGUGAGGGAUACCGGCGAGAAAUCGCCGACAAUACCGCAUAGGCUUCUUCACAAGGGAAGCAAAGUGACGCGAGUCACGCUGUGAGAUGGGCCUGUGGCCGAUUAGCUAGUUGGGGGGGUAACGGCUUCCCAAGGCGACGAUCGGUAGCUGGUCUGAGAGGACGAUCAGCCACACUGGGAUUGAGAACGGCCCAGACUCCUACGGGGGGCAGCAGUGAGGAAUUUUCCGCAAUGGAGGCAACUCUGACGGAGCAACGCCGCGUGCAGGAGGAAGGUUUUCGGGUCGUAAACUGCUUUUCUCGGGGACGAGCAAGGACGGUACCCGAGGAAGAAGCCCGGCUAACUACGCGCCAGCAGCCGC